rnacentral:sRNA from 1 species
GAUUCGGGGGCGCUAAAGUCGCAGGGGCAGGGCGGGAAGGAAGAUCCGGCGCGGGGCAUAGGAUCCGGAGCUGGAGCCCCCAGAAUUUUCCCACUGUAAAAAAUCAAGCAGGUCUGGACAAGUGAGGCUGGCUCCAUGUAUCCAGAAUCAACGACGGGCUCCCCGGCUCGGCUCUCCCUGCGGCAGACGGGCUCCCCCGGGAUGAUCUACAGUACUCGGUAUGGGAGUCCCAAAAGACAGCUCCAGUUUUACAGGAACCUGGGCAAGUCUGGCCUGCGGGUCUCCUGCCUGGGACUUGGAACAUGGGUGACCUUCGGAGGCCAGAUCACCGAUGAGGUAAGAUGGGGCUCUCCCAGCACCCCAGAGCCCAGCACGGGCUCGCCAGAGCACAUGGAUAAGUCUGCUGCGUGGAC